rnacentral:rRNA from 1 species
ACAGCAGUCGCCGCGGUAAUACGAAGGGUGCAAGCGUUACUCGGAAUUACUGGGCGUAAGGCGUGUGUAGGUGGUUGUUUAAGUCUGUCGUGAAAGCCCUGGGCUCAACCUGGGAAUUGCGAUGGAUACUGGGCGACUAGAGUGCGGUAGAGGAUAGUGGAAUUUCCGGUGUAGCAGUGAAAUGCGUAGAGAUCGGAAGGAACAUCUGUGGCGAAGGCGACUAUCUGGGCCAACACUGACACUGAGACACGAAAGCGUGGGGAGCAAACAGGAUUAGAUACCCCAGUAGUCCCUGUCUCUUAUAC